CGGCGAGUGAAGCGGCAACAGCUCAAAUUUGAAAUCUGGCCCCAGGCCCGAGUUGUAAUUUGCAGAGGAUGCUUUUGGCGCGGUGCCUUCCGAGUUCCCUGGAACGGGACGCCAUAGAGGGUGAGAGCCCCGUACGGUUGGACACCAAGUCUUUGUAAAGCUCCUUCGACGAGUCGAGUAGUUUGGGAAUGCUGCUCAAAAUGGGAGGUAUAUUUCUUCUAAAGCUAAAUAUUGGCCAGAGACCGAUAGCGCACAAGUAGAGUGAUCGAAAGAUGAAAAGCACUUUGAAAAGAGGGUUAAACAGCACGUGAAAUUGUUAAAAGGGAAGCGCUUAUGACCAGACUUGCGCCCGGUGAAUCACCCAGCUCUCGCGGCUGGGGCACUUUGCCGGCUCAGGCCAGCAUCAGCUCGCUGUCGGGGACAAAAGCUUCGGGAACGUAGCUCUCUUCGGGGAGUGUUAUAGCCCGUUGCACAAUACCCUUCGGCGGGCUGAGGUACGCGCUCCGCAAGGAUGCUGGCGUAAUGGUCAUCAGCGACCCGUCUUGAAACACGGACCAAGGAGUCAACCUUAUGUGCGAGUGUUUGGGUGUCAAACCCCUACGCGUAAUGAAAGUGAACGCAGGUGAGAGCUUCGGCGCAUCAUCGACCGAUCCUGAUGUUCUCGGAUGGAUUUGAGUAAGAGCAUAUAGGGUUGGACCCGAAAGAAGGUGAACUAUGCGUGUAUAGGGUGAAGCCAGAGGAAACUCUGGUGGAGGCUCGCAGCGGUUCUGACGUGCAAAUCGAUCGUCAAAUAUGCGCAUGGGGGCGAAAG
rnacentral:rRNA from 1 species